AAUUGUGUGUUAAAUGCACGUGGAAAAUUCAUUGAAUGAUAGUUAAUACACCACACAUUAAAGCACAUGAAAGAACAAAAGGCUUAGAACCAAAUGAAAAGCAAACGCAAUUCAAUCCCUCAUAUCCCAGUCACCGUCUCCUCCGCGCCGGAGGCUUCCUCGGCGGCGGAGAUUUCCAAAAUCAGAAAUCCAAACAUCAAUCUUUCCCUCUCAAUAUCCUUUACACGAAUCCAUAAACAAAUUUCUCCAAUUCGAACCCCCAUGUCUAAACCGAAGCAUUUACCUCAAGAACCCUAAAUCCUAAAUCCUAAAUUAAACUCUCAAAAAGAGGAAUCCAAGCCUCUAAUCUUAGGGCUUUGGUUCCUCCAACUACAUGAUUGUAAUUCGAAUUAGGGCAAAACGGUUGAAGGGGGUGCUUACCUAGCGGAGAUGGGGAGUUUAUAAGUUCGAAGGCAGAGUGAGUUGAAGACGACGAUACAAGCUGAUCAAGCAACUUCCGAAAAAUCUUUAAUUCGUGAAGCUGAAUGAAUCAACACGGAGUUGCUUGCACUAAAGGAGACAUGCUGAACUAGUGACACUUUGCUUCGACUACAACUUUUGUUAGCUUGGUUAGGCAGAUUUGUGCUAUGCAAGUGGACAGAGUUUUUAGAACCUCUAAUAAGCAAUUUUGCAGGUGCAAAUUAACUCUGUCAUGCAGAUUGUAAUGGCUCGAAUUGUGUUCACACAUUGCAGUUUGGACUCCAUUGAUUUGCUGCUAUGAGAUUUUGAACGUGCUUGGCGUAUUGUUACAGUAAUGGCUCUAAAUCUGACUAUGGUUUGAAUGAUUGGGCAAUGUUGGAUGGUUGCAAUUGACUCAGCUAGGCAAUGAUUGGAUAAUUUUUACAGGUUUUAGGUGUGGUUAUGUGAUGGGAAAAUAGCAAGUGUACUAUUUUUCUCACUGUAGUAAUAAAAGGGAAAUUCCCCGUUUGUCGAUCUCAAGGACUGCUUGACGACACAGAGUUUAUAGAUUGUUUCAAUUAGACAAAAACCUUUGGUUUCUGUGUUGUGAUUAAUUAUACUACCAAUUGCAGAUAAAUAAAACAAGUAGAAAGGUUGAGCGAGAUACAAAUGAGAGAAGAUUGCUAGGGUUCGGUGAAUGAAACUUCUUGUAACAGAUAUAAUUUAUGAAGGUUUAGACAAUAUUCCUGUCCAAUUAA